ensembl:lncRNA
CCUGAGGGAGUUCAGGGUGGAGUGAGGCACUCUGUGCUCCAGGGAAUCUGGUGGGACAGGUCUUUAGAUAGUUGAAUGUUUUUAGGAACAGAUUUUAUGAUCUUGCAUCUCCUCAUAUCUAGAGAAACACUAAAUCCCUUCAUGGUGACAUCAGAUCCUCAUGACUAACAAAAAACCUUUUGUAAAUUGAGUGAUUCAUGGUAUUGAACUCCCCCUUCAGCUACUGCUGCUGCUGUGUCACUUCAGUUGUGUCCGACUCUGUGUGACCCCAUAGAUGGCAGCCCACCAGUUUCCCCCAUCCCUGGGAUUCUCCAGGCAAGAACACUGGAGUGGGUUGCCAUUUCCUUCUCCAAUGCAUGAAAGUGAAAAGUGAAAGUGAAGUUGCUCAGUCAUGUCCCAUUCUUUGUGACUCCACCUACUGCAGCCCACCAGGUUCCCCCGUCCCUGGGAUCCUUCAGGCAAGAACACUGGAGUGGGUUGCCAUUUCCUUCUCCAGUGUAUGAAAGUGAAAAGUGGAAGUGAAGUCGAUCAGGUGUGUCCAACUCCUAGCGACCCCAUGGACUGCAGCCUACCAGGCUCCUCCAUCCAUGGGAUUUGCCAGGCAAGAGUACUGGAGUGGGUUGCCAUUGCCUUCUCCGCCCCCUUCAGCAAAACGUCUUAUAUUGAUUUUCCCCCACUGUCUCUUUGGAGCAGCUAUCUGAGAUGUAGCCUCCAGGGCUGAAGUCCUCAUUUUGCCUCAAAUAAAACUUAACUCACAACUCUCAAGUUGUAUAUCUUUUUUUAGUCGACAAUACUGCCAUGGUAUUUUCAUCUUUGGGAUUGUGUUUGUCUUUACAGUCAAUGAGAAAAACAAGAGAUGGGGCCUAAAAUCUAAAGGAUAUGUUUGCACCCAACAAAGCCUAAAUGUCACUGCAACACACUAUAUGGAUGAAAGUUUCACAUUAUAAAAGAAUGUCAGCAUGAAACAGAUGAAAGGACGGACUGGAGCUUGAUCCUGCUUGGUCUCCUGAUCAUCUACGAGAACUUGGACAGUCUGGGUGCAGAACGGAGGACAAAGGAGGCAGUUUACUCUAGGACCCCAGAGGAACUCCAGCUUAGGUGGGGGAGUACAUUUGAAGGGGUGGAUUAGCUCAUAGCAGGGUCACACUAGCUUCAAAGAGCUCUGUUUGGUUCUGCAGCAGCUACUGGAUGGUGGGUAGGCAGGGGAAAGGGUGGCACACAUCCCAUUUUCUAUUGUUGAGUAAUAUGGCUCUGCUGCUGUCAAAAUCAGUCAUUAAAGCAAAGAGCAAUAAUGGGUUAGCAACAACACAGAGGCCCGCAAUAACAAUGGAGAUGAAAAUAGGAUGCUUGGGAAAAGGU